UACGAAGGGGGCUAGCGUUGUUCGGAAUUACUGGGCGUAAAGCGCACGUAGGCGGAUACUUAAGUUAGGGGUGAAAUCCCAGGGCUCAACCCUGGAACUGCCUUUAAUACUGGGUAUCUUGAGUUCGAGAGAGGUGAGUGGAAUUCCGAGUGUAGAGGUGAAAUUCGUAGAUAUUCGGAGGAACACCAGUGGCGAAGGCGGCUCACUGGCCCGGUACUGACGCUGAGGUGCGAAAGCGUGGGGAGCAAACAGG
rnacentral:rRNA from 1 species